UACGUAGGGUGCGAGCGUUAAUCGGAAUUACUGGGCGUAAAGUGUGCGCAGGCGGCUCUGCAAGUCGAGUGUGAAAUCCCCGAGCUUAACCUGGGAACUGCAUUUGUGACUGCAUGGCUAGAGUGCGGCAGAGGGGGAUGGAAUUCCGCGUGUAGCAGUGAAAUGCGUAGAUAUGCGGAGGAACACCGAUGGCGAAGGCAAUCCCCUGGGCCUGCACUGACGCUCAUGCACGAAAGCGUGGGGAGCAAACAGG
rnacentral:rRNA from 1 species